GAUGUGGGCGCGGAGGAGGAGGAGGCUCCCGCCGCCGGACGGCCCGUUCCGAUUUAAGAACGGAGCGCGAGCUCAAAGCCGACCCGUACGCCGGAGACGCGCCGCUCUCGCCCCGAAACCGACCGAGCGUGCGCUUUUAGCGAAACGCUUGCGAUGAACCCCGACAAACUCCGCCCGCUUCUGCUCCCGCGGAGAGCCAAAUGACGGAAAAGGGCAGGUAAUCCACUCAGACAUCAGUAUUCAGCUCUGACAGCACCUGCCUCAGCCCGUCCUGACCAGACCAGGCCAGCGCCAUUGAUCCAGGCAGCUAAGGGGUCAGCACCAGGAUACAUCCAGAGG